CAGGCUGAGGCUGUGAGCACAUUGCCCCUUUCAAGGCUGAUGGACCCCCAUUUGUUUCAGUUUUAAGGUCUCAGUAAUCUGAAAGCUGCUGGAAACAUUGGGCUCCCAGCAGUGAAGAGAUGCUGGCCUCCUGGGCACAGACCAAGUUUCCAUUCCUGUGAAAACGAGAAAGCAGCAUGGUGGAGAAGGAAAGUGGCUGGAUAUCUUCCAGGGCAGAGCUCAAGUCCUGGUUACUCACACCAUCACCAACAUCCCUCUAUUUGUCCUAGAGGGGCAAUCACUCUCAUAGCCUUUGAAGGAGAAAGUAAAUCACACACGCCCAGUGGAGCGGCUGGCAUCCUCUUUGGUCAAGGCAAAACCAUGCCUGGGCCCAGCAGAAGAGAAGGAAGAAGGAAGACAGAAUGAGACAAAGGAAAAGAAAAGAGA
rnacentral:lncRNA from 1 species